rnacentral:rRNA from 1 species
UACGGAGGGUGCAAGCGUUAUCCGGAUUCACUGGGUUUAAAGGGUGCGUAGGCGGGCAGGUAAGUCCGUGGUGAAAUCUCUGAGCUUAACUCAGAAACUGCCAUGGAUACUAUUUGUCUUGAAUAUUGUGGAGGUAAGCGGAAUAUGUCACGUAGCGGUGAAAUGCAUAGAUAUGACCCGGAACACCGAUUGCGAAGGCAGCCUACUAAGCAAUUAUUGACGCUGAGGCACGAAAGCGUGGGGAUCAAACAGG